CUCCAAGGCUGGGCUACUGAUCAUCCUCUUCCUACAGACGAGAGACUGCAGGCCUGGAGAUGGCACAGCCUGCUCAGGCCACACGGCCUGCAGGUGGCACUGCACUGCAGCAGCCGGGGACGGGCCUCACGUCCUCAGUGCCCCGUGAUGUCAUUUCAGUGUCGGAGCAGGGAGGGACCUGCUUGUUUUAGAGAAGGGGGUUCACCUGGGACACCCCUGAGCUUUGUCCCAAGCCUCAACAAGCCACUCACUUCCCACUUGGGAGUAGUUUCUCUGCACGCACCAGGCAGUGGGACCAGGGAAGAAAUCGCGUCCGCUAAGUGGUGUCGUCUGCCUGCAAGACCUGCACAGCUCCCAGGCCUAUGGCUUUGGGCACCAGGACGGUGCCGGCUGAAAGGGAAGUGUCAGCUGUUCUUCUGUCUUUAAAAGGCAGCAAAGAAAAAAGCGCAGGGUUGGGUUUCGUAACGUCAGAGGAGGCCAAGGACACAGCAUGGAAUCUGACGGGAAACGCA
rnacentral:lncRNA from 10 species